CGCCCUCCGCGGCCCUCGGGCCGCCGCUCCCUGCCGUGGGACAGGCACAACUGGUAAUAAAGUUGCCUCUGCCUCCCACAUCAAUAUUGCUUGCGAACCUCCAACCUGUGCCUACAACGUGUUAUAGCGCUUGGGUCAGCGUUGGAAAACAGCAAGCUGGUACUUUCCAACAGAGCUUUUUGAGGAAUAGUGUUGCUGCUUUUAUUGUCUUCAAGCAGAAACCAGGAUGUACUCUGGGCUCACUCUUUGCAGUGAAACACUUUUGGGGAAAAAAAAAGAAGAAAAAAGAAGUAUUGCGAGAAGAAUAAACACAAGAAAGUGCUUAUUUGCAUAUUGGCUACACAGAAAUGAAGAUCCUGCUGUGGAAGACACAGAUUCAAAAGAAUCAUAGAUUACUUGGUGAUGGUACGAGAAAACAGGAACUCAAAGGGUGGGGAUCUGAAUUAUCACAGAGAUGCUGAGAUUUCUUUUUUGUUCUCUUAUGACAAGAAUUAUACAAAAGACCACUUUGAGUGCUUGUUCUUCAUUAGACACUUCUCCAGAAGAUUGAAAAACAAGGACAAUUAUUGCAUUAACUGAAUUUUAAAUUUAAAGCCUAACAUGUAAAAUUAUCAUAAAACAGGUGAAGUCCUUGCAGUGAUAUACUUAAAAAUACUGAAAAACUUGAUAUAAAGGUCACUCUUCCAUAUAAGAUUUGUCAGAAAAGCUAUGAACUAGCUAUGUGGUGUGAUGUACUCAUCUGCUGUGCUAGAGAGAAUAGAUGAGAAAAUAUCAUGCAGCCUAAUGAAAUAUUAGAGCAAAAAUCUGACCUAAAGGUAGGCAUUGGUUAUCACCAUAGGAUAUUUAGAUUUAAGGCACUCUAAACUCCUGUGUUGCUUCCUUGUGACCCUUUGACAUGCACCAUGCCAUGAAGUGGUAUAAUGACCCACUCUCUUCUAGUCUUCAAACCCCACAACAUUUGUCAAUCCAUUUGACAGUGUAGUACUUGAUUGCCUUGAUUUGACCGCUAUGAUAACAAUUUCAGAACAGGCCAGAAGUAACUUCAUAUCUGUGUGCUGAUUUAGGUUUUGCAGAGAGAGGGUGCACACCAUUUUAUCUGUGUACUAGCAAGCUAGCUGAAAAGUGGAAUAUGUCAGUAUUUGAAACUGAGUUUACACACAAAUAACCUGAAAGAAAAAACUUUAGCAGACUUUCCUUUAUUUGGCAUCUUCUGAGUUGCUGUUUUGAGCAAAGGUAUAACAGAACUCUACUAGAUUGUUGGUUCUACUAGACCUUUGCUUGAAACAGCAAUUCAGAAGAUGCCAAAUGAAUUCUAUAUGGAAAGAGAUGUGUUAAAUAUUGCUAGGUUAUGGAUGCCUAAGGCUAGAACAUGAGUCCAGAUGGCUGAAGUUCAACAGAUGCCACAGAACUACAGAACUUGCAUAAAUAUGUGAUGUCAAGUGUGGGAAACCAGAGUGACGUUUUUCUGUGCAAGUAUGAAAGCCUGAGUAUUUUGUAUUUUAAAAAAAUAAGUUCCCAGUCUUACAUUUUCAUUAAAAAAUGAAAAAAGAA